AAAAAUAUUAAUUCAACUUUCCGACGAUUCUCUAAUUCUUUCUGUUACCAAUCUCGGCGCCGCCGGCGAUGGUAUCAACUAUGAUUCUUCUGCAAUCAGUCAACCAUCGACGCUUGCAAUCGUCACUAGUCAUCGUCUUCCUCCAUCUGCGGUGUCGUUUUCCGUUACAGCACCUAUUUGACCGCCAAGCUCCAUCUCCGAUCUUGCGUCGUCGUUCUCGAUGUGACGGAGAACCCAAUGAUUCUCGGUGGGCCAAGGAUCGAGAGUUAUUAUCCAGUGGAGAAUUUUUUGGGUUGAUAUCACCGAUGUGGAGCGAUUGAUGGUAGGGAUCACAGUCAGAUUCGAUUAUAAGAAGAACGUGAUGCUUGCACAUUGUGAGGUGCGAGAACACACAAGUCCUCGAUGUAUCCACCCUUGGGGACUUCAACACUCCAAAUAAAGAUUGAAUCGACAUUGAAGAUUCAACACUGUUAUAAUAAGAUGGAUUCUACUAAAGAUGGUUGGAUGACUCUCGAUGGGAAUUGAAUGUUUCUGCACUACAAGAGUGUCAGAUGUUUCUACUGGACAAGUUAAUUGUUGUUGCAGUAACUGUGAUUGAGUUUGCUAUAUGUUCUCUUUAAUCUCAAGAAAAUUCAAGAAGAAUCAUGUGAAAUUCAUGAAAGAUUUCUUGAAUUUCAGGAUGACAUUCAUAAAAGUUUAGAAUUCAUGAUGAACCUUAGGAAGACCUUCAUAAAAAAUCUAGACAUCAGUAAACACAAGGGUGAGGCUUUUAACGUAUCUACUCACCUGAUCCCAAGUCUUGUCUCUGGACAAAAGUGUAUGCUGGUUUGCUUA